rnacentral:ncRNA from 1 species
UAAAAAGCAAUGACGAGUACCCCCUCACUGAAUUGGUGUCAGAGAGUUGCUGGCUGAUGAAAAGCAACGACCAAGAAGUUCAGGGAAUCCACUCCGAGCCGCACGUCGAACCAAAAGUAGAUCGUGCUGGGGACACCCAUUAUAGUGUUAGCGUAUCGCAGCAAUGCCGUACGUGAGAGGUAGUGCAAUUAUUGCACUACAAACUAAGGUGGUACCGCGUUAUUGAACGCCCUUAAC